rnacentral:rRNA from 1 species
UACGUAGGGGGCUAGCGUUGUCCGGAAUCAUUGGGCGUAAAGAGCGUGUAGGCGGUCCGGUAAGUCCGUUGUGAAAGUCAGGGGCUCAACCCUUGAAUGCCGGCGGAUACUGUCGGGCUAGAGUCCGGAAGAGGCAAGUGGAAUUCCCGGUGUAGCGGUGAAAUGCGCAGAUAUCGGGAGGAACACCUAUGGCGAAGGCGGCGCUCUGGGCCGGUACUGACACUGAGGAGCGAAAGCGUGGGUAGCAAACAGG